ACGAACGCUGGCGGCGUGCUUAACACAUGCAAGUCGAACGGAAAGGCCCUGCUUUUGUGGGGUGCUCGAGUGGCGAACGGGUGGGUAACACGUGAGUAACCUGCCCUUGACUUUGGGAUAACUUCAGGAAACUGGGGCUAAUACCGGAUAGGAGCUCCUGCUGCAUGGUGGGGGUUGGAAAGUUUCGGCGGUUGGGGAUGGACUCGCGGCUUAUCAGCUUGUUGGUGGGGUAGUGGCUUACCAAGGCAUUGACGGGUAGCCGGCCUGAGAGGGUGACCGGCCACAUUGGGACUGGGAUACGGCCCAGACUCCUAUGGGAGGCAGCAGUGGAGAAUAUUGCACAACGGGCGGAAGCCUGAUGCAGCAACGCCGCGUGCGGGAUGAGGGCCUUCGGGUUGUAAACCGCUUUCGCCUGUGACGAAGCGUGAGUGACGGUAAUGGGUAAAGAAGCACCGGCUAACUACGUG
rnacentral:rRNA from 1 species